UCAAAGACACAGCCCAUGUGAAGGCCAUUGGUUCAACAAUUAUUUGUGGAGCCCUUACUAUGGGCCAAGCAGGUGUUCUGGGUCCUGGGCCCACAGCCGAGAAAACAACCAAUACAAAUCCCAGCUAUCGCGAAGCUUAUAUUCAAGAAGCCAGAAGGAAGGGAGCAGGGAGAAUGGAAGAGGAAGAAACAUGGCGGGGAUCUUCAAGGACAUGAAAUGCCACAGGUCUGACCCACGGAAUCAGCUUUGAUCGCUGCUGGGCUUCCCACCCGUAGAACAUUGCCUGGUACACGGUCACAGAACGUGCUUUCCAGGUGUGUACCAUGGUGAAGAUACCAUACAGCCUCUGAAACACACACGCCCGACCGAUCACCCCAACAACCAGAUAGCAGGUGUUCGCCAUUGAGUCUUCUUCGCCUUCUCUUAUUCUAGGUCUUGGAAGAUAGUAAAGAUGUCCUUUGUUGAUUUUAACCUGAGACAGCUCUUCUAUAGUUUGUCAUAUAUCAUGAGAACUCAGUAAAUCAUCACUAAGCAUAAGGA